rnacentral:siRNA from 1 species
CUUGGGUUCAAAUUUUCUACGCC